AACGAACGCUGGCGGCGUGCUUAACACAUGCAAGUCGAGCGAGAACGCGGGUCUUCGGACCCGUUAGUAAAGCGGCGAACGGGUGAGUAUCACGUGAGUAACGUGCCCUGAGGUCGGGGAUAACAGUGCGAAAGCGCUGCUAAUACCGGAUGAGCUCACACCGCCUUUGGGUGGAGCGAGAAAAGGGGGCCUCUGAUUUAAGCUCUCGCCUCGGGAUCGGCUCGCGCCCCAUUAGCUUGUUGGUGAGGUAACGGCUUACCAAGGCUACGAUGGGUAGCUGGUCUGAGAGGAUGAUCAGCCACACUGGAACUGAGACACGGUCCAGACUCCUACGGGAGGCAGCAGUGGGGAAUCUUGCGCAAUGGGCGAAAGCCUGACGCAGCAACGCCGCGUGUGUGAUGAAGGCUUUCGGGUUGUAAAGCACUGUCAAGAGGGAAGAACGUCAGCUGGAUAAUACCUGGCUGCUCUGACGGUACCUCUGAAGGAAGCACCGGCUAACUCCGUGCCAGCAGCCGCGGCAAUACGGGGG
rnacentral:rRNA from 1 species